rnacentral:rRNA from 1 species
AUUGAACGCUGGCGGCAGGCCUAACACAUGCAAGUCGAACGAGUGGCGGACGGGUGAGUAAUGUCUGGGAAACUGCCCGCUGGAGGGGGAUAACUACUGGAAACGGUAGCUAAUACCGCAUACCAUCGGAUGUGCCCAGAUGGGAUUGGCUAGUAGGUGGGGUAACGGCUCACCUAGGCGCCGAUCCCUAGCUGGUCUGAGAGGAUGACCAGCAACACUGGAACGAAGAGAAGGUCCAGACUCCGACGGGAGGCAGCAGUGGGGAAUAUUGGACAAUGGGCGCAAGCCUGAUGCAGCCAGGGGGCGUGUAUGAAGAAGGCCUUCGGGUUGUAAAGUACGUGCAGCGAGGAGGCGUUACGCGCAGAAGAAGCACCGGCUAACUCCGUGCCAGCAGCCGCGGUAAUAC